GGACGUAUCAGCGGGAGAGAUCGACCGGGUUGCAAGCCCGGGAGGCGCCGAAGGAGCAACCGCCCCGGAAACUCUCAGGCAAAGGGACCGCGAUACGAUC
rnacentral:ncRNA from 1 species